GACGAACGCUGGCGGCGUGCUUAACACAUGCAAGUCGAACGGAAAGGCCCUGCUUUUGUGGGGUGCUCGAGUGGCGAACGGGUGAGUAACACGUGAGUAACCUGCCCUUGACUUUGGGAUAACUUCAGGAAACUGGGGCUAAUACCGGAUAGGAGCUCCUGCUGCAUGGUGGGGGUUGGAACGUUUCGGCGGUUGGGGAUGGACUCGCGGCUUAUCAGCUUGUUGGUGGGGUAGUGGCUUACCAAGGCUUUGACGGGUAGCCGGCCUGAGAGGGUGACCGGCCACAUUGGGACUGAGAGACGGCCCAGACUCGUACGGGAGGCAGCAGUGGGGAAUAUGGCACAGUGGGCGGAAGCCUGAUGCAGCAACGCCGCGUGCGGGAUGACGGCCUUCGGGUUGUAAACCGCUGUCGCCUGUGACGAAGCGGGAGUGACGGUAAUGGGUAAAGAAGCACCGGCUAACUACGUG
rnacentral:rRNA from 1 species